UACAGAGACUGCAAGCGUUAUUCGGAUUCACUGGGCGUAAAGGGUGCGCAGGCGGCCAAGUGUGUUAGGCGUGAAAGCCCGAGGCUUAACCUCGGAAUUGCACCUAAAACUACAUGGCUAGAGUACCGGAGAGGGUAACGGAAUUCACGGUGUAGCAGUGAAAUGCGUAGAUAUCGUGAGGAACACCAGAGGCGAAGGCGGUUACCUGGACAGUUACUGACGCUCAGGCACGAAAGCGUGGGGAGCAAAAGGG
rnacentral:rRNA from 1 species